rnacentral:tRNA from 1 species
GGGAUUGUGGCUCAGUGGGAGAGUGCUUGCCUAACACGUGUGAGACACUGAGUUCAAUUCUCAGCACCA